rnacentral:rRNA from 1 species
AGAGUUUGAUCCUGGCUCAGAACGAACGCUGGCGGCGUGCCUAAAAAAGAAGAGCGAGCGCGAAUGGAGCAAUCCUAGUAGAGCGGCGCACGGGUGCGUAACACGUGGGUAAUCUGCCCUGAAGCCCGGAAUAACCUGCCGAAAGGCAAGCUAAUACCGGAUAAGACUACGGCCCCCUCGGGGGCUGAAGGAAAAGGUGGCCUCUGCAUGCAAGCUAUCACUUCAGGAUGAGCCCGCGGCCCAUCAGCUAGUUGGCGGGGUAACGGCCCACCAAGGCUACGACGGGUAGCUGGUCUGAGAGGACGAUCAGCCACACUGGAACUGAGACACGGUCCAGACUCCUACGGGAGGCAGCAGUGGGGAAUUUUGCGCAAUGGGCGAAAGCUUUUACGUUUUUAACGCCGCGUGUGUGAUGAAGGUCUUCGGAUUGUAAAGCACUUUCGACCGGGACGAAAACCCGCUGGCCAAUAUCCAGCGGCUUGACGGUACCGGGAGAAGAAGCACCGGCUAACUCUGUGCCAGCAGCCGCGGUAAUACAGAGGGUGCAAGCGUUGUUCGGAAUUAUUGGGCGUAAAGCGCGUGUAGGCGGCUUUGCAAGUCGGGUGUGAAAGCCCUCGGCUCAACCGAGGAAGUGCGCCCGAAACUGCAGAGCUUGAGUA